rnacentral:rRNA from 1 species
UAGUUGGUGGGGUAAAGGCCUACCAAGGCGACGAUCAGUAGCGGGUCUGAGAGGAUGAUCCGCCACACUGGAACUGAGACACGGUCCAGACUCCUACGGGAGGCAGCAGUGGGGAAUUUUGGACAAUGGGGGCAACCCUGAUCCAGCCAUUCCGCGUGAGCGAAGAAGGCCUUCGGGUUGUAAAGCUCUUUCAGCUGGAACGAAACGGUACAUCCUAAUACGGUGUGCUAAUGACGGUACCAGCAGAAGAAGCACCGGCUAACUACGUGCCAGCAGCCGCGGUAAUACGUAGGGUGCGAGCGUUAAUCGGAAUUACUGGGCGUAAAGCGUGCGCAGGCGGAUUGUUAAGCAAGAUGUGAAAUCCCCGGGCUUAACCUGGGAAUGGCAUUUUGAACUGGCAGUCUAGAGUGUGUCAGAGGGGGGUGGAAUUCCACGUGUAGCAGUGAAAUGCGUAGAGAUGUGGAGGAACACCAAUGGCGAAGGCAGCCCCCUGGGAUAACACUGACGCUCAUGUACGAAAGCGUGGGUAGCAAACAGGAUUAGAUACCCUGGUAGUCCACGCCCUAAACGAUGUCAACUGGUUGUUGGGGGAGUGAAAUCCCUUAGUAACGAAGCUAACGCGUGAAGUUGACCGCCUGGGGAGUACGGUCGCAAGAUUAAAACUCAAAGGAAUUGACGGGGACCCGCACAAGCGGUGGAUGAUGUGGAUUAAUUCGAUGCAACGCGAAAAACCUUACCUACCCUUGACAUGUCCAGAACCCUGCAGAGAUGCGGGGGUGCCCGAAAGGGAAUUGGAACACAGGUGCUGCAUGGCUGCCGUCAGCUCGUGUCGUGAGAUGUUGGGUUAAGUCCCGCAACGAGCGCAACCCUUAUCAUUAGUUGCCACGCAAGGGCACUCUAAUGAGACUGCCGG